GACGAACGCUGGCGGCGUGCUUAACACAUGCAAGUCGAACGGAAAGGCCCUGCUUUUGUGGGGUGCUCGCGUGGCGAACGAGUGAGUAACACGUGAGUAACCUGCCCUUGACUUUGGGAUAACUUCAGGAAACUGGGGCUAAUACCGGAUAGGAGCUCCUGCUGCAUGGUGGGGGUUGGAAAGUUUCGGCGGUUGGGGAUGGACUCGCGGCUUAUCAGCUUGUUGGUGGGGUAGUGGCUUACCAAGGCUUUGACGGGUAGCCGGCCUGAGAGGGUGACCGGCCACAUUGGGACUGAGAUACGGCCCAGACUCCUACGGGAGGCAGCAGUGGGGAAUAUUGCACAAUGGGCGGAAGCCUGAGGCAGCAACGCCGCGUGCGGGAUGAAGGCCUUCGGGUUGUAAACCGCUUUCGCCUGUGACGAAGCGUGAGUGACGGUAAUGGGUAAAGAAGCACCGGCUAACUACGUG
rnacentral:rRNA from 1 species